AUUCUUUUUCAAACAAGGUUAAGACCCUAUCCUAUAUGGUCUGCUGUAAUACCAGUCGCUUUGUUCUGUUUUCAUGCUUAUACUUUAAAAUCGUUACUCCAUUAGAAAUGUGUUUUCUUGUCUCAUUUCCGACAUAUAUGAUUUCUGCAGAAAGUUGCAAAUAAAGUCUAGAGAUGUAUGCGGAUCCGGGAUUUUGGAAAAAAGGAGACCCCAAAACUAGGUAACGUUAGGAAUAGAACAUAUUAGAAUAGUACGCAUUAACUAUUUGUUCAGUCUGCAGAGGCAGAUUUAGAGCCAGUACAGGUGGCUCUACCCUUGUGUGGGAAAAUAUGAAUAAAGGAAUCACUGGAGCGGGCACCACUUACGUAAAUUUCCGCUACUAGUAAUCCAUAAAGGGACAGACCCUCCCACCCUCUUUUCCUAUCUUAAAUCCGCCUUUGUAAUAACGAGAAACAUUUCAAAUAUAUUCAGACGUUUUUGGAAAUUUAAGAAAUUUCUAACGUGAAAAGUGAUUUUAAGUUAAAUGGAACCUAAAGUACAACUGCAUGUUAACCUUCCGAUUAUGGAUUCCAGGAUUACACGAUUAUUGAUCAAGCACAGCUACAUAUACUUUUUGAAUAGUUUCCAUAUCAACGUUAAUCAAUUGGGCAAAAACAAUAAAUACUGUGUUUAAUAUAACAAUCCAAUCUUUUUAUACACUGCUCUAUUUUUACCGCAGUCAACUGUCUCGAAAGAUGGAUUGAUUUCCUACACAUAAUCGUAGUUUUGCGGUUAUCCGUUUAUCCUGAAAACCAGACAGAUAUUUUUUUGCAUUUUAUGCUUUAUGUGGGAUGAUUCACAUUCUCGUUCACAUUUUUUAACCACAACAUAUAAAUUAUUUUCAUGUAUUUUAAUCAACAAAAUGAACUCCGACAAAUGAAAUCAAUGAUGAUAGAGUAGACGGAUGACUCAACUGAAAUGGAAUUUUUAGAAUUUCAACAUCAGCAGCAGACGAACUUUUCAACCAUUUUCUCAUCAUCUCGGGUUUCUAUUUUUCUGAUGACUAAGAACGGAUUAAAGGAAAG
rnacentral:lncRNA from 1 species